AUACGGAGGGUGCGAGCGUUAAUCGGAAUUACUGGGCGUAAAGCGCAUGCAGGUGGAUGAUUAAGUCAGAUGUGAAAGCCCGGGGCUCAACCUCGGAAUAGCAUUUGAAACUGGUCAUCUAGAGUACUGUAGAGGGGGGUAGAAUUUCAGGUGUAGCGGCGAAAUGCGUAGAGAUCUGAAGGAAUACCAGUGGCGAAGGCGGCCCCCUGGACAGAUACUGACACUCAGAUGCGAAAGCGUGGGGAGCAAACAGGAUUAGAUACCCUGGUAGUCCACGCCGUAAACGAUGUCUACUUGGAGGUUGUGGCCUUGAGCCGUGGCUUUCGGAGCUAACGCGUUAAGUAGACCACCUGGGGAGUACGGUCGCAAGAUUAAAACUCAAAUGAAUUGACGGGGGCCCGCACAAGCGGUGGAGCAUGUGGUUUAAUUCGAUGCAACGCGAAGAACCUUACCUACUCUUGACAUCCAGAGAAGCCAGCGGAGACGCAGGUGUGCCUUCGGGGCUC
rnacentral:rRNA from 1 species